AUUGAACGCUGGCGGCAUGCCUUACACAUGCAAGUCGAACGGUAACAGGUCUUCGGAUGCUGACGAGUGGCGAACGGGUGAGUAAUACAUCGGAACGUGCCUAGUAGUGGGGGAUAACUACUCGAAAGAGUGGCUAAUACCGCAUGAGAUCUACGGAUGAAAGCAGGGGAUCGCAAGACCUUGUGCUACUAGAGCGGCCGAUGGCAGAUUAGGUAGUUGGUGGGAUAAAAGCCUACCAAGCCGACGAUCUGUAGCUGGUCUGAGAGGACGAUCAGCCACACUGGGACUGAGACACGGCGCAGACUCCUACGGGAGGCAGCAGUGGGGAAUUUUGGACAAUGGGCGCAAGCCUGAUCCAGCAAUGCCGCGUGCAGGAUGAAGGCCUUCGGGUUGUAAACUGCUUUUGUACGGAACGAAAAGCCCUGGGUUAAUACCCUGGGGUCAUGACGGUACCGUAAGAAUAAGCACCGGCUAACUACGUGCCAGCCGCCGCGGUAAGAC
rnacentral:rRNA from 1 species